rnacentral:rRNA from 1 species
AUGCGGGAGGUAAAUGCAGCAGAACCGUCAGUCGAAUCACGCAAGCCCCUAAAGUGGUCCAGCACGCCCAUCAUCUUUGAUGUCGAGGAUCACCCUGAUCGCAUAACUGCGGUCGGGUGCUUGCCGAUGUUGGUUUUGCCAACCAUCCGCAACCUCAAAGUCACAAAGAUGCUGGUUGACGGCGGGGCCGGCUUGAAUCUGAUCUCCUCCGCAGUGCUCAAGAAGCUCCAGAUCCCCGACAGCGAGCUCGAAGAGACUGGUACCUUUCAAGGAAUUAAUCCAGGAAGGAGCAAGCCGAAGGGGAAGAUCACACUGCCAGUAACGUUUGGCAGCGAGCUCAACUUCAGGACAGAGAGAGUCACAUUUGACCUCGCUGAUUUCCCAUUGCCCUACAACGGGAUACUCGGCCGACCAGCGCUUGCCAAGUUCAUGGCAGCCUCUCAUUACGCCUACAAUGUGCUCAAGAUGCCCGGUCCGAUAAGUGUCAUUUCUGUCCAUGGCGACAAGAAAGAUGCACUUAUCUGUACCGACAAGAUCUACCGGUAA